rnacentral:lncRNA from 1 species
GGUCUCUCUUCCUGUAUAUUGCCUCAGAUUCACCUCUCUGCAAGUCCUACCUUCCAGAAAGUGGUUGCCUUUCUGUUCCUAGAAUUGAUGUUAUUUUUUUUUUCUUCUAUCUCCUGUUGAGUUUGUAGGUGUUCAGAAUGGUUUGAUAACUAUCUAGCUGAACUCCUGGGAACUGAUGAUAUAUAGGUCUCCUACUCCUCUGCCAUCUUGCUCCAGAGGGACACGUAGCAAGAUGGGAAACACAAGCACGAGCAGUGGGAGUGGGAGAAGCAGGCUUCCCACUGAGCAAGGAGCCCAAUGCAGGGCUCAGUCCCAAGACCCUAGGAUCAUGACCUGUGCCGAAGGCAGGCUCUUAACAACUGAGCCAUCCAGGCGCCCCAAUACUGUACCGCUUUUUAAAAUGAAGUAAAAUAAUAAAAAAAAUUUUGAAAACAAGAAUAAUAAAU